GACGAACGCUGGCGGCGUGCUUAACACAUGCAAGUCGAACGGAAAGGCCCCUUUUGGGGUACUCGAGUGGCGAACGGGUGAGUAACACGUGAGUAACCUGCCCUUGACUUCGGGAUAACUUCAGGAAACUGGGGCUAAUACCGGAUAGGAAUCCUUGCUGCAUGGUGGGGGUUGGAAAGCUUCGGCGGUUUUGUAUGGACUCGCGGCGUAUCAGCUUGUUGGUGGGGUAGUGGCUUACCAAGGCUUUGACGGGUAGCCGGCCUGAGAGGGCGACCGGCCGCAGUGGGACUGGGAUACGGACCAGACCCCUACGGGAGGAAGAAGUGGGGAAGAUUGCACAAGGGGCGGAGGCCUGAUGCAGCAACGCCGCGUGCGGGAUGACGGCCUUGGGGUUGUAAACCGAUUUCAGCAGGGGCGAAGCUUGUGGUGACGGUACCUGCAGAAGAAGCACCGGCUAACUACGUG
rnacentral:rRNA from 1 species